CCUGUAGCCACUCAUCAAAAACAGAUAAACCCCUCAGCUGGACGAAACGACUGAGACAGUCAAACUUGUCUGUUGCAGCUACAGCACUUGCAAGAAUGGACCGCCCAAUCAAAUCUGUCUUCUUCUCAUUCUUCUCAGGUAGCAUGAGCUGUACCAAUUUCUCAACCCCUUCAGAAUCCACUAGCCUCCCUCUCUCAGUAAUUUUUGCAAUCUCAGACUUCAAACUGCUUUCUUUUCUUACAAAACCAGAACCACCAUCAUCACCUCGGCUCGGACGUUCCCUUUUCACAGAUUCAGAACCCUGAUCACCACGCUCUCUCUUCCUUCCCUUGCCCUGUGAAGAAGAGGAGCUACUGUUCUGCAUACCUUCUGUUCCUGUUUUCACUUGAGAUGUUGUUAACCUAGGAGAACAACCACACUGCUGUAAACUCUUACACAAUAAGUUAUCUACUUCUUGUUGACGUUCCUGCAUAAAAAAAAAAGACUUGUCAAAACCAGAGAAGAAACAUAAUUGGAUAACGAAUUUUAAUCACUCACUCACUCACAUCGAUAUAAUCUUGAUCAGUGAGCCACCAAAUAGACUCAUUCAUAACAUCAUAAACCCUCCAGCAAACAAACGAAGAGAUUCCAGAUGGGAGUUCAACGCCUCUGGGAAGAAAGGUAACUUUACACGGAUGAAGCAAAGACGCAGCAGGUAUCUCAUCCUCGUGAAAGGAGUAAAAGAUCUCGUUAGGCUGAGCCUCCAAAAGGACGCCCUUCCCAAGCUUCAACUCACCGGGUCGAUACAGCCAAUUCACACGAACCUUAAAGCUGCCUCCUUCUUCUCGUUCCGGAACCAGCAAACGGAUCAAACCAAUGAACGGUGGACAAUCCUGAGGCGGCUUGAACAGAGCACAGUCACCAACACUAAUCCUCCUCCCGUCCUGCAAUAACCAUCAUCAAAAUCAAAACUUUAAAUCAAAUCGGAACCAAUCAAAAGCCAAUUGAGACGAAUCAAGUUACCUUAGAGAAGGAAGAAGGUGAAGAAAGAGAGAGCGACGAAGAAGAAGAAGAAGCGGUUGAGAUUAGACGCGAAGGAGGUCUAAGCAUAAGCAGACGACGAUGACCUUUCUUCCUCCCAUGCAUAGCCGUCUCUCAUUUUUUCCCCUUUCGAAUCAAAACAAACACAAUUUCGUCUUCCUUGUCAGAAUUGGUUUUCGAUUAAAAAAAACCCUAAAAUUGAGAUUAAAAGAAGAAGAUGCGAUUCCUUAGGGAUUGAUUUUUGAAAUCGAGUACCUGAUCCAAUCAACCCGCGAAGAUCCAACAGCGAGAAGAAGAAGAAACCCCCGUAGAGUGCGAGACACGAAUCGAAAGCACGCCCUUGUUUGUUUUUUCGAUCCAGCGAAGAAGAAGAAGAAGAAGAAGAAGAAAAAAAAAUAAAAUCGAGAGAGAGAGAGAGAGAGAGACGAAGGCAAAAGGGGGGUACUACGAGUCGGGGCAGUUCGGGCAUGUGUUUCGGGCAGCGUUUUUAUUUAUUUUGUUUUUGGUUUUCUGGUGACAUUUGAGUGUGUUUUUCUUUUCUCCCCCCUUUUUAUAGCUCUUUUUGAUUUUUCUAAUUUUUUCCUAAAUUUAAAACAAAACGAACUUCGUGAUUUAAAAAAAAAAGUUAUUUGGGUUAAACACAAAAAAAAGUCUGAUCAUUUAUAAAAAUCAAACGAAAUUUAGGAUCAUUUUUAAUCAACAAACUCAAAAAUAAAUGUGAGUACUUUAUAAAAUAAAAUUAGAGAAAUGUUCUGCUCAUUUUGUUUCAUAUAAUGUAUUUUAAAAAAUGUUCUCGCGUAUUUAAAAUUGAAUUAGAAACUCUAUUUUAUCCGUUGACACACUUUUUUAUUUAUUUAAUACACUAAUACAAUAAGGUUAAAAAUGAACAUUUAUUUAAAUUUUGUAUUGAAAAUAAAAAACGACACACUUUUUGAAAUAAAAAUAAAACUCUAAACACACUUUUUAAGAAACUGGGAAGUAUUAUCUAAUAUUUAUAGAAGAAAAUAUCACAUUCAUCUAAAAAUAGAAAAAAAAAUAUAACAUAUUGGAGUAAAAUCUUCAUUUUCUGUAUCUUUAGAUAUGUGCACAUUUUCUUGCCAAGAAGAUAAGAAAUAUUGAAAUUUUCUUUUUUCCAUGUAGAUCAGAUCUGGUCUGAGAGAGCGUCUCUUUGGAACGUAUCAGCCAUGACUAAUACUUAUCUUAUAAAAUAAGUGUCGUAAAAAAAUGGAGUAAAAUUCCUAUGUAUUUGAAAAAUUCUAUUUUUAGUGGAAAAAAACUAGAAGAGAGAUUAUCUAUAUAGCAAGCAAACUAAAAUUAUAAGCAUGAAUAAGUUGUUUCCACAAGUUUACAAAACCGAUCAGUUUAUAUAAUAAUUUUGUGAUUUGAUCCAGUUUAUUCUGGCUGAUUACGGUUUGAAUGUGGUGACCUACCCUCCACAACAAGUUAUGUUUGGUUAUGAUUUUUAUGCGAGGAUCUUUUGGUUACAUUGUACAGUGUCAAAUCACUGUCAUCAAAGUACAAGUCAAUCAUUGUCUCUCUUUGACACAGACAUUAACUUUUUUUACAAUGAGACUAAGAAGCUAUUUGAGUAGCUUCCAGUGACAUGUCUUCUUCACUCACCGAUAGCUCCAAAACAUGUUCUUCACAAGGCACAAAAUAUGUAGAACAUCUCAAAGAUUUUGAGACAGUAAGGUUAAGCUAACUGAAGGUUCCAUAUUUGCAUAGGUGACAAGACUAGUCAAAAUUGGCAAUUGGAGAUGGUGCAAAAGAUGUUAGGAAUGCUUCAAGAAGCAGAUAUAGGAGUUGGGAUCAGUGGAGUGGAAGCAAUGCAGGUUCUUUAAAGAAUCUUAGGACAACCAUUUGCACGGUUUUGUAUCAAGGUAUAAUGAAUCAUUCAAAUCAAAAAGAGCUGCGUAGUUUGCUGUAUAGUGGAGUUUCUUAACCCAAAGCCUUGCUUCGUUUGCUGUAACUGUUCCCUAUAUUGUACCAGGAAGUGGUACAAAAUCUCCCCUUUGGUUGUUACAUGGCUUCUGCAGCACAAUAACCAUUUUCUUCCUCUGCAAAACCUCUCUUGAAUCCCAAGCUUUCAACCACCAAGGGAAAACCGCAGGGGAGAGAGAGAUUUUUGGAGGAACUAUGUACACAUGUGGGUUGAGUUAGCAGAUGGUACAAUCAGUUACUACCUGUUAUUGCAAAUUUGCAAUAUAUGAGCCAUUUUGUUAUAACAGAGACAAAGUUCUGAAAUGUGGAUUCAAACAUAACUAACCACAAGUAAAAAAAAUCUACAAAAGAGUUGCUGCUGACUAUAUAAUACACAAACCAUGUCAGAUUUUACCAGUCUCAUACCAACAAUGACCAUCAUUUUUUCUUUUACAGCAGAGCUCCAAAAAAAAGAGAAAAAAAAAACAUAAACUAAACACUCGCUUGCAUCUCUAAAAGAGAUAAGGAACUAAGUUAGCGUCUGCUUUUAUCUUCAAGAGUACCUAAGAGCCAACAAAGAUUGAAUUAGAAACACAGUCAGCGAGAGAUAAUAUAAAGAAACAGAAGAUGGUAGAGCUGAAAGAAGAGAGUAAAAAUAUGCUUACAUGCUUAGUGCAACGGCCUACAAAGAGAUUCUGAGGUUUGUUAUUGCCAAGAGGGUUGCUUGUAUCCAUCCCAUCCACCACUGUCUGGUUCCUUCCUCUUGAGAGUACCACCAAACAUUUGAUACAUUCUUGCUUCAUCUUUCAAGGGUAAAGAACCAGAGGAAGAUAGCUGUCUUUGUACAAGUGCUGCUUCAUCUCUGCCAUCAGUUUCAUGCCCUCCUGGUCCAGAGUUCAAGUCAAGACCAGAUCUAAACCAUUUUGCAUUGUUGCUGCUGUCCGAAACUCCACCAUUGCUACUACCGUUUGGGAGAUUAACGACAUAAGGUCUUGGGUAGUUAGAAGGGAUGGCAACUCCUGGACCCAAUAUUUGAGAGUUGACAGGAGGGAAGCAUAGCCUGCCACUUGAUGAAGAGUCCAUGUAUGGUGUUGAAGCACCUGAAAAAUUUGCUGAGGAAAGAGGAAAGCUGGAACCAAAAGGAAACCCAGGAUACUGAAAUGCUGAUGGUGGGAAUGAAACUGCUGGAGAAGACAGUAAAACAGGGCCUCUGUACAUAUCAGGUGUAUAUGAUGAAACUUCAGAUGUUGGACCAACCAUUCUCUGCGGUCCAUUGCCACGUUCAGGCAAGACUUGAGGAAUGCUCAUUGCUGAAUAAUUGUUAACAGCAGGAAACCAAGAUGAGAAGCCAGGCCUUAUUCCACUGAUCAUUGGCUGUGCACUUCGGGAAUUUUGACUAAAACCCAGAGAUGACUCAACAACGUUAACAUCAUCAACAGCAGGUCCAUCGUUUAAAUCAAAAUCCCUACUACCACCAGAAGAUAAGUUUGUCUGUUGAAAAGUUGAAUUCACCCGAUGACCACUGCUUACCGUAUGAUUAUUCAUAUCGGCUGGAUCAUCAAGUCUGUUUAGAUCAAGAUCCAGUACGCCACAGGGAUUUGUGGGAUUGGCAAAUCUUUGGGAAGGCAGAUCUUCAAGAACUCUUUCAUCCGGUACAUUUAGGUCGAAGUCCAAGAAUGUCUUUGUUUGCUUGCCAGCGGUUGUAGAAGCAUCACAGGAAGCCACAUUAUUCAUGCUUAGUGGCACCACCUCUUGGACUUUUCUUGGCUCAGCUGGUCGGAAGGCGCUAGUGGCAGCAGAUCCUCUCCACCCAACAGCUGGUUUAUUUCUCAACAGAUCAUCACGCGGAACAAAAGCACCCUUUGCAGCAGCAGCAACUGUAAUGGAUGCAGGAGGUCGACUGGUUUGUAAAGGAGUAGAUGUCAAAGACAACGAUCCAGAGAAGUUACUUGAAUUCUCCUUUCGUGUGUCAUCCCCACUGAAAGCUUCAUUUAGGUCAAAUUUAACUCCGGCUUCCAGCUCUGACCCUGCUAAAGCUGAAACUGAGGGAAGAUCUUUGGCAGCAGAGGUAAAUUCCUCUGUUUCAUGCCCAUCAGCACAUGUUGUCGUGGCGCACUGUUUUCCGACUUCAGCACUCUUUAGAGACGCCUCCACAUGCUCAACUUCAAUCUUAGUUACAGAUGAAUCCAGAUGAGCUGUCACAGGCUUGUUCUUUUUAUCUGUCUGGUUCACAUGAUUAAUCCCCACGUCCAUCUUUUCUGCAGCUAUGCCCUUGGAGAGCUUGGACGAAACAGUUACAUCUUCAGCCGUUUCUUUAUCCAAUUCAGAACUCAAGACUACCGGGGGUUUAUGCUCUUCCUUGUUAUCAGAGUGUGAAUUUGCAACAACCAAGGAUUCUACUUUGGGACAUAAUACGAUGGCUUUACAUUCAGCUGGCGCAGAAGUUUCCACUGAUGUACAAGCAGCCUUUCGAUCGUUAGCUGUUCCACCACAAUCAUUAUCAUCAGACAAUUUCUCUGGCAUCGAUCUAUCAACAUUUUCAGUACUCCUAUCCUUGGCAAACUCUGACAAAACUGAAACCACUUCACCCAUUUUAUUAACUAGCUCAGAACUUAAUAUCACCUUUGGUUUAUCUUCCACCUGAGCACCACCAGCAGCCUCCAAGUGUGAAUCUUCAGCAGUCAAAGAAUCUGCAUUUUGACUUUUGCCAAUGGUUUUACAUAUACGUAAGGCAGAGUUUCCUGUCCUCAUCACUGUAUCUGCCACUCCAUCUGUCUCUGAUAUCUCUUCAGUCUUUUGGUCACUAACUACCCCACUAUCACCAUCAUCAGAAAUGUUUCCCCCAAUGCCUGAUGUGUGCCCAGCGGUUGGGGCAAUAUCAUCUGAAUUUUCAUUGCUUUCUAGGCACUGAUCCACCAAUCUUUGCAACUCUUCGAUUUCUGAAUCGGAGUUAUCAUCAAGAUCUCCCGGCUUAGAAUCAUUUUCAUUCUCUACAACGGCCAACUGCUCGCCACUACUACUGACAUGUUCAACAAUGGUGGGAUUCACAUUCUCAGCUUGCUCGCUAGGCAUGCCAUCCAAAGAAUCUGAAACCCGAGAUACCGAGGGUGAUGCAACAGGGGAUUUGGACAUUUCAUCAGCAGCAACAGUAGCUAGAAGAUUCAUUCCAACAUCAUCUGCACCAGCCACACAUGCAUUCGCCUCAGAGUCCCUGACACAACUUUCAAUCAAAGCAUUCAUUAAGCUGUGUGAUUCACCAUGUCCUUUUCCAGUUUUGACAUCAUCUCCUGAGGUAGGAGACGUGGGCUUGACAAUAUCUUCUAUUUUACUAGACUCAUUAACAGCCUUCUCGUGCCCAUCACCACGUUCACCACAUUUAGGCAGCUUAACCAUCAACUUAUUGCUACAACCUUCAGCUUUCUCAAAAGUUACAGUUCUUUGUGAUGAGAUGCUCCUGCUCAGCCCAACUUCUGCGUGGACUGCAACAGUAUUUCUUUGCUGCCCAACGUUAGCAACAGCAACACCUGUUCCAGGUGAUGGGGCUGAUCUAGUAGAACUUGGAGAGGUGGUUGCAGACUUCACGCUGUUAUCUGAAAUACCGGACACGGACUUAAAAGGAUGCAGAGGAGAUACUGAUGUCUUGGUUGCAUCAAAGGAUACAACUGAGUGUCUACUGCCAUGGGAAACUUCAGACUGACGAGGUCUUCCAGGCUUGGCAUCCAUUUCUGCCUCAACACGUUUCUUCCAUGUAUCAACCAAGCUCCUUGCCUUUUUCCCAAUUUCUGAGUUCUUAUGUGAUCGCAAUCGAUUAACAGACUUCCCAAUGUUGCAAGUCUGAAGAGCAUUGAGAUUCACAGGCAGCUUGUCAAGAGCACGUAGUAAAAUCAAAAGAAACUCGUCCACUGAUCUAUCAUUGUCUUUGGGACUGCUCCCAUCCCCAAUUUUCCUUCUAUGAAUCUCCUGUAGCCACUCAUCAAAAACAGAUAAACCCCUCAGCUGGACGAAACGACUGAGACAGUCAAACUUGUCUGUUGCAGCUACAGCACUUGCAAGAAUGGACCGCCCAAUCAAAUCUGUCUUCUUCUCAUUCUUCUCAGGUAGCAUGAGCUGUACCAAUUUCUCAACCCCUUCAGAAUCCACUAGCCUGCCUCUCUCAGUAAUUUUUGCAAUCUCAGACUUCAAACUGCUUUCUUUUCUUACAAAACCAGAACCGCUAUCAUCAACCCGGCUCGGACG
rnacentral:lncRNA from 1 species